ensembl:lncRNA
AGGCACUAGUCUAAAUACAGAGCCAUUAGCAGUUAUAAAGGGCCAUGGUUAAUGGAUUGAGCAGACCAUGAUAAUCCAACAGGGUGGGGCUUCCCAGGUGGCGCUAGGGGUAAAAAACACACCUGCUGAUGCAGCAGAUGUAAGAAAUGCUGGUUCGAUCCCUGCGGUGAGAAGAUCCCCUAGAGAAGGAAACAGCAACCCACUCCAGUAUUCUUGCCUGGGAAAUUCCACGAAUAGAGGAGCCUGGUGGGCUACAGUCCAUGGGAUCACAAAGAGCUGGACAUGGCUGAAGCGACUUAGCAUGCAUGCAUUCAAGAAGGUUGGGAGAUGCCCUGAGGGAAGUCAAGAACUUAUAUGCAGGUGUCCUCCAAGGCAUUAAGGCAUGUUUCCCAAGAACAUUGCCCAGUUCAAUUCCCGUGUGAUGGGUCUGCUUCCUGGGAAACUUAACCUGCAGUAGUGGCAGGGGUGGUCCAAGAAAAUAGAUGCUCAUGAGGGAUUCUGAAGUUGCCAGCCAUCUCGAAGUGAGGACCCUGAUCAUCAGAAGGAGGAGGGCUGCUCUACAUAAUGCAACAGAGAAGAAGGUGAUGGUACUGUUGAUCCAUAAGCGGUGCCUCUUGACAUUCCUUUGUUCAUCUUGAUGAUAAAUGGAUAAGCACAGCAGUCAUAUAUCAGAAAGGUGUGGAGAUCAGGAGCACAGAGGCCUCAAAACUGAAGAUCUGAGUCAUGCCAACAGGGAAACCAUCUACUCAGCAAAGGCAGUGGCUGAGAACGAGGCAAUCUAGAAUGGGUAGUAUGUGAUGAAUAUGAGUUGUGGUCCCAAGUGCUUGGGCUCCAACUGCUUAUAGCCAGGGCUAUAAUUUAUCCCUAACUGUCUAUUUCCCCUAGGAAAAGAGAUACAAUGGAAUCUUGGAAGAACUCUUUUCAGAAUUUAUAUGAAGUGGAUCUGAGUAGUGCAAAUGGUGAGCCAUAGUGAAAGAUCUGAUCUGCCACUCUGUCCACUAAAGACUGAAGUACAUUCCUCCAGCUACUGAUGGCACCAUUGGUUGACAGUCAUCAGAAAUUAUCAUUAGCUGGAGAGUUCUGCCAUGCACAAAUUUCCCAUGCUUCUUUCCUCAGGGCAGCUCAAAUCUGAUAACUGAUCAAUGUAUAGUAUAAAGACCCAAAUCCCUCACCUUAUCCCAGGACAACAUUAAAGGGCAUCAAGCUUCAGGAUCCCUAAAGGCUUGGCCUAGUCUUUGCUGAGAUUACAUCACAGUGCAAGUUCUUCCCAUGUCCAAUUCUGUUUCCUUCUCUUCCUUUCCAUGAUGUCCAUCCUGAGAGUGAAAUUCACUCAGUCGUGUCUGACUGUUUGUGACCCCAUGGACUAUACAGUCCAUGGAAUUCUCCAGGACAGAAUAUUGAAGUGUAGCCAUUCCUUUCUCCAGGGGAUCUUCCCAAUCCAGGGAUUGAACCCAGGUCUCCCAUGUGGCAGGCAGAUUCUUUACUAGCUGAUCCACAAGGGAAGCCCAAUCCUAAGAGUGCUCCCUAUAAAAAUUUCUCCACACUAAUAUCCAACCCAGAGUUUGCUUCCUAAGAAAUCCACCCUACUACAAAAACAUCAUCGGGACAGCUCAUAGAAUUUGAAUAUGGACUCUUGAUUAGAUAAAGGGAUUGUACCAGUGUUAAAUUUCCCAAUUUUUAAAAAUGGUUUUAAUUGUUUUUUAAUUGUUGUUCUUCAAUACCUAAAUCGUGUCCAACUCUUUGCAACCCCAUGGACUGCAGCAAGCCAGGCUUCCUGGUCCUUCACUGUCUCCCGCAGUUUGCUCAAAUUCAUGUCCAUUGAGUCAGUGAUGCCAUCCAAUCAUUUCAUCCUGUCACCUCCCUUUGUCCUCAAUCUUUCCCAGCAUCAGGGUCUUUUCCACUAAGUUGGCUCUUUGCAUCAGGUGUCCAAAGUUUUAGAGCUUCAGCAUCAGUCCUUCCAUUUCCUUUAGGAUUGACUGGUUUGAUCUCCUUCCUGUCCAAGGGACUCUCAAGAGUUUGAUCAUAAUAUAUUGUGUUUAUAUAAGAGAAUGUUUUUGUUCUUAGGAAAUACACUGGCAAAACUAGGAAUGAAGGCACAUGAUAUAUGUGACUUAAUCUCAAAUGAUUAAAAGAAAUUGUGCACGGAGAGGUGGAGGAUCAGAGAAAAAGAAGAAAAUAGGACAAAAUGGAAAUAUUUGGAAAACCUGGGUAAAAACUAUGGAGCUUAAUUAUAGACUUGUUCCAAUUUUUCUGAAAAUUUGAAUUUAUAUCAAAAUUUAAAAAUACCAAAAUAAAAUGACCAGACCUAAUACCAUUCCAAGAGAUUCAGAAUCCCUUGGGUACUAUUAUAUUUCCAGUACUCAGCCCCAGUCUGUAGGUAUUCAACAAAUAUUUGAGUAAAUGAAUGAGUCAAUAGGUAACCUUGUAGGUUAAGAUAAUGAAUUCAGUUUUGGAU